rnacentral:rRNA from 1 species
UACGUAGGGUGCGAGCGUUGUCCGGAAUUAUUGGGCGUAAAGGGCUCGUAGGCGGUUUGUCGCGUCGGGAGUGAAAACUCAGGGCUUAACCCUGAGCCUGCUUCCGAUACGGGCAGACUAGAGGUAUGCAGGGGAGAACGGAAUUCCUGGUGUAGCGGUGAAAUGCGCAGAUAUCAGGAGGAACACCAGUGGCGAAGGCGGUUCUCUGGGCAUUACCUGACGCUGAGGAGCGAAAGUGUGGGGAGCGAACAGG